rnacentral:rRNA from 1 species
UACGUAGGCAGCAAACGUUGUUCGGAAUUACUGGGCGUAAAGAGUGUGUAGGCGGUUUCGUAAGUUUGGUGUGAAAUCUCCCGGCUUAACUGGGAGGGUGCGCCGAAAACUGCGAGGCUUGAGUACUGGAGAGGAGAGCGGAAUUCCCAGUGUAGCGGUGAAAUGCGUAGAUAUUGGGAGGAACACCAGUGGCGAAGGCGGCUCACUGGACCGGAACUGACGCUGAGGCGCGAAAGCGUGGGGAGCAAACAGG